rnacentral:rRNA from 1 species
CUCAGUUCAGAUUGGGGGCUGAAACCCGCCCCCAUGAAGUUGGAAUAGAUAGUAAUCGCGGAUCAGCAAGCCGCGGUGAAUACGUUCUCGGGUCUUGUACA